UGCUUGUCUCAAAGAUUAAGCCAUGCACGUCUAAGCACAUGCCUUAAAAUGGUAAAGCCGCGAAAGGCUCGGUAUAACGCCGCCGUUUAUUAGAUUUUAGUAUCUACUCGGAUAACUGUGGCAAUUCUAGAGCUAAUACAUGCACGAAAGCUCGGACCUUUGGAAAGAGCGCAUUUAUUAGACCAAAACCAGUCGAGUUUCGGCUUGAUUGUUGGUGACUCUGAAUAACUAAGUUGAUCGCACAGUCUUGUACUGGCGACGUAUCUUUCAAAUGUCUGCCUUAUCAACUUUCGAUGGUAGGUUAUACGCCUACCAUGGUUAUAACGGGUAACGGAGAAUAAGGGUUCGACUCCGGAGAGGGAGCCUGAGAAAUGGCUACCACAUCCRAGGAAGGCAGCAGGCA
rnacentral:rRNA from 1 species